CUACGGGAUGCUCCAGUAAGGAAUAUUGCGCAAUGGAGGCAACUCUGACGCAGCCAUGCCGCGUGCAGGAAGAAGGCCUUAUGGGUCGUAAACUGCUUUUAUUUAGGAAUAAACCCUCGCUCGUGAGCGAGGCUGAAGGUACUGAAUGAAUAAGCACCGGCUAACUCCGUGCCAGCAGCCGCGGUAAUACGGAGGGUGCAAGCGUUAUCCGGAUUUAUUGGGUUUAAAGGGUGCGCAGGCGGGCUAUUAAGUCAGUGGUGAAAUCCCGGGGCUCAACUCCGGAACUGCCAUUGAUACUGAUAGUCUUGAGUUUGGUCGAAGUGGGCGGAAUGUAGCAUGUAGCGGUGAAAUGCAUAGAUAUGCUACAGAACACCAAUCGCGAAGGCAGCUCACUAAGCCAAAACUGACGCUCAUGCACGAAAGCGUGGGGAUCAAACAGGAUUAGAUACCCGGGUAGUC
rnacentral:rRNA from 1 species